CCGCUGCCGGCCCAGCGCUUUGGGGAGUGACUUCCGGCCAUGCGGGGCCUCUACCGCUGCCAUCGCGGUCCCGGUCUCCUGAAGUGGAACCCGGCUUGGAGUCGAGCGCGACCCCUCGCCCGUGGGCGCAGGCGAUCGAGUAAGGGUGGGGCGGGCCUCAAACCCGGAUCAGAACCCGCCCUGACCGGCGCAGAGAUACGGGACGCAGCCUAAGCAAGGCCCGGGAAGAAGUUGGGUUUCCCUGCCAUCCUUCCUGCCCCAGCCCCUCAUCCUCAACUCACCAUCAACCCUUCCACGAUCCCAAAUCGCUCGUGGAUGACUUUGGCGAGGGGAGCCAAACAGUUGGUGGUGCAGGACGCGUUGCUGAAACAGCCAAGGUGUGCACGGACACUGUGAGCUCUGACAACCUCGCCAUGAACCCUCCUAGACCCUCAGCUCCUGCAAUAGGAAGCUGGCUGCCAAAGGCCAGGAGGGUCCCUGAAAACAGACACUGCAUUAAAGAAAAAGCUCCUGGAGGACUCCUGAAGCCUGAGGCAGCCUUGGGGCAGCAGUGGCUCAUGGUUUACAUUGGAAAGGUUUAUCAUGAGUAACCGGGUGCUUUGCUUCUGUGAUUCUUGGCCAGUGUCGGUCUGUUUCCUUUGCCAUUGAGCCUGCUCCCCUCAAUGGGGGGUUCAAUCAAUGUUUGUGGGGUUUGUUUGUUUUGAGACAGGGUCUUCCUCUGUCGCCCAGGCUGGAGUGCAGUGGUGCAAUCAGAGCUCACUGCAGCCUUGAUCUUCCUGGCUCCGGCCAUCCUCCUGCCUUGGCCUCCCGAGUAGCUGGGACUACAGGCGCACACCACCAUGCCAAGCUAAUUUUUAAAUUUUUUUGUAGAGAUGGGGUCUCACUUUUGUUGCCCAGGGUGCUUUAGAACCCCUGGGCUCAAGUGAUCCUUGACCUCCCACAGUGCUGGGAUUACAGGUGUGAGCCACCGUGCCUGGCCUCAUGGGUUUUCUUUGUUUUGUUUUGUUUUGUUUUUGAGACAGAGUCUCACUCUGUCACUCAGGCUGGAGUGCAGUGGCACGAUUUUGGCUCACUGCAACCUCCACCUUCCGGGUUCAAGCGAUUCUCCUGCCUCCGCCUCCCGAGUAGUUGGGGUUACAGGCAUGCGCUACCACACCUGGCUAGUUUUUUAUUGUUGUUGUUUUUUGUAUUUUUAGUGGUGACGGGGUUUGCUCUGUUGGCCAGGCUGGUCUCAAACUCCUGACCUCAGGUGAUCCCCACUUCAGCCUCCCAAAGUGCUGGGAUGACAGGCAUGAGCCUCUGCACCUGGCCUCGUGUUUUUUUUUUAGUUAGCCAUUUUAUACGUGUUUACUGAACACCUGUCCUGUGCCCAUAUUCUAAGUGCCUUACCUGCAUUAAACUCAUGUAACCUUCACAACCCGAUGAGGAAGUGCUACCGCUGUCAUUUUUUGCAUUUUUUUACUGCUGUCAGGGCAGAGGGGAGGGGAG
rnacentral:lncRNA from 1 species